CUCCUGUAUCAGUAGCCAAUGAGCUCACCGCUCAAUAUUCAAAUACCUGACUUUGAUUGCCUGUAGCAGUCUGCAGCACUUCAGAACAGCUGAAAUCAACAUCUAAGAUAAGUGAAUGCUCUUUUAAUUCAUAUCGCUGUGCAUAUUUGCGUCUGCCUUACUGAAAACAAAAUUGUACAACCAUAAACUACUUUAAACUAAGUGUCAUGGUAGCAGUUUGCAUUGCAUGCAUCAGCGAAAUAUUAAACAUAUUAGCAGCAGCAUUUAGCAUCUGUGUUUACAGCUGGAGCAAAGGCAGUUUAGAGCAUGUAACUGCUCUGGGGAAACAGGUUAAAUGAAAUAAGCAUUCUUGUGUAUGCAUUUCAACUGGGGUUCACCAUAUACAUCGGCGCAAUCUCAAUGUUCACGUUCGUUUUUCUAAGGUCAAUUUUUUCAUCGUGAUAAGUGUGUGGUUGACUUCAGCUGCACGCACUGUCAGAAGCACAUGCUUAUCGCAGUUAUAUCGAUGACAGUGUUGCGGAAAGAACACUCUAAAAAAUAAUUCAAGGGAUAUGUUACCACUACAUAAUUUAAUACAUUGUUGUAAAUUAAAAAUUCUAAAUUGUUAAUUUGAUUAAACCUUUUAAGUUGCCAGCAUUAUUUUAAUGAGUUGUCAUGACAGAAUAAUGUUGAUAAUUACAUCAACUUAAUAAUGUAUGGAAUUUAAACAUAAAUAUAUGUGUUGAUUAGUUUAAAACAAUAUUUACGUUGUAGCAACCCAAUGAAAUUGGCUUGAUAACUUAAUUUUUCCACACCAUUUGAGUUCAGGAUUUCAAAGCUCCUCCCCCACUUAACGAGCAAGGAGCAAGUUCAGACAUGUUUCAGGCUGACCAGUAUGACACAAAGGACAUUUCAAGAACAUGGGGUAGCCUUAGAUGACAUUUAUCAAGACAUCACUCUAAGGGAACUCAGGAAAGAUUCAGAUCUGCAGAAAGUAUCUCUUUUACUUGUCCUUGUUGCAAUGCCAAGACAAUCUCCACAGAAAGAUAAUUAUUUGAACACCUGGGUCGGCAUUUGAAAAAACAUGAGACUGUCAUCUGUAUAUUUUAGAACUACAAUUUCAGCACUAAUAUUUAUGGUACAUUUGCUUCCCACAGAAGCCGAAAACAUACUCCUCACUCAUUGAUGGACUUCAAGGAAGACAUAAUAAAAAGAACACACAAGAGUUUGAGGAAGACAUUGAAAGGCAAGUGAAGACAAUUGCCUUCAUCGGUGAUCAACCUACUUCAGGAUUUGACCACAAGACGGCAACCAUUGUGGUUGAGGGCAUCAAAAUCCUGAAUGGAAUGGAUAUCUCAAGGUGCUGUGCUCUGCUGAUGGGCAUACUAUAUGCUCUGAAUCUGAGUUACCCCAAGGAACUUAAAUAUACCUGUGAAGUGUUUCAGAAGCUGUUUCUUGAACUUGAUGGACUGAAACCCAGUGCAAAAGUAAUGCGUCUGAAGAACAAUAUUUUCUGAAAUCUCUGCUUGUUCCAGAGGAAAUUUUGUUCACUUUUUUAUUUUUAUUUUUUUGUAAUUUGAAGUCUACUGUAGGCUGAACUUUGUGUUAUAUUUCAUACUGCUUGAAAAACUGAGGUUAAUAUAUGAAUGUCAGUAGCAUUUAUAUAUGCUUGUUUGUGACAGUAGCAAUCUUAGAUGUUUUAAAAAUGGGGUUUACUGUGAAGAAAUAGUUUUAAAGUUUAAAGUUUUACAGAUUGUUUGACACUGUGGAAAAAUAUGUAAAUGCAAAUAACUUUGCUGUGUUGGAAUUAAUUCAUUGUGAUGGCGUAACUGAGUAUGCAUACAAAAGGCAAAUCUGUAGGGCCAGUUUGUUUAUAAGUUGUGGGGAGCAC
ensembl:lncRNA